UACGUAGGGGGCGAGCGUUGUCCGGAUUUAUUGGGUGUAAAGGGCUCGUAGGUGGCCAACUAAGUCAGACGUGAAAUCCCUCGGCUUAACCGGGGAACUGCGUCUGAUACUGGAUGGCUUGAGUUCGGGAGAGGGAUGCGGAAUUCCAGGUGUAGCGGUGAAAUGCGUAGAUAUCUGGAGGAACACCGGUGGCGAAGGCGGCAUCCUGGACCGACACUGACGCUGAUGAGCGAAAGCCAGGGGAGCAAACGGG
rnacentral:rRNA from 1 species